rnacentral:sRNA from 1 species
AAGGAAAGCAUUGCGCAUGCGGGAAACCCACGCUGAGGGAAGAAUCAUGGGAAAGAGUAGAGACGGGGUUCCACCGUGUUAGCCAGGAUGGUCUCGAUCUCCUGACCUCGUCAUCCUCCCGCCUUGGCCUCCCAAAGUGCUGGGAUUACAGGCUUGAGCCACCGCGCCCCGCUCUUUCGUGUUCCAAAGGCUUUUUAAAUAAACUUCCACUCCUGUCCUGGAUUCUGCUUUAUGGCCCUCAGUCGAAUUCUUUCUUCUGAGGAGGCAAGGACUGAAGUUGCUUCUGACCAGUACAGGAGAAAACGAAUACAGCAGGGAUGACUUCCACCAGCUCCACUUUGCAGCUCUGAGGUGUAUUAAAAAUUUGUUUUUCAGAAACCUAGAGCCCCACCAAAUGAAUCCGCUGGCACGUGGACCUCAGAUGGGGGAAACUGAGGACUGAAUUCUGACCACCCUCCUUUGUUCUAAAUUUCUUCCUGAAGGACCUGGAAGAAGUCAUGCCACGGGCCAGACCUUAACAUUCCUUUCGGCUUACCCCAGGAUUUCAGACGAAGCUUCACUUUCCUAACCAGUCACAAAUCAGAGAAUUUUUGAUUCCACCUAUGACCUGUGAGCUCCUGCUUCAAGAUAUUCCACCUUUUUUAGGCCAAACCAAUGUAUAACCUCCAAGUGUCGAUUUACACUUUCGACUGUAACUUCUGCUUUCCUGAGAUUUACCCCUGCCUUUAAAAACCCUUGCUUGUAAUCCCUCAGGGAGGCCGUGUAUUUAUUAAUCAUGAGCUGCCCAAUUCUCCUUGCUUGGUGCCCUGCAAAUAAACACCCUCUUUUCUCCCACUGCAAAA